rnacentral:rRNA from 1 species
AAAACUUUCAACAACGGAUCUCUUGGUUCUGGCAUCGAUGAAGAAACGCAGCA